AAAAGAACCCCGAGAGGGGAGUGAAAUAGCACCUGAAACCGUGUGCCUACAAGAAGUUCGAGCCCGUUAAUGGGUGAGAGCGUGCCUUUUGUAGAAUGAACCGGCGAGUUACGUUAUGAUGCGAGGUUAAGUUGAAGAGACGGAGCCGUAGGGAAACCGAGUCUGAAUAGGGCGACUUAGUAUCAUGAUGUAGACCCGAAACCUAGUGACCUAUCCAUGAGCAGGGUGAAGGUGUGGUAAGACGCACUGGAGGCCCGAACCAGGACACGUUGAAAAGUGUUUGGAUGACUUGUGGAUAGCGGAGAAAUUCCAAACGAACUGGGAGAUAGCUGGUUCUCUCCGAAAUAGCUUUAGGGCUAGCGUCGAAAUGUAAGUGUAUUGGAGGUAGAGCACUGUUUGGGUGAGGGGUCCGUCUAGGAUUACCAAUCUCAGAUAAACUCCGAA
rnacentral:rRNA from 1 species